rnacentral:rRNA from 1 species
GACGAACGCUGGCGGCGCGCCUAACACAUGCAAGUCGAACGAGGCCUUUUAGAAGCUUGCUUCUGGCUGGCCUAGUGGCGGACGGGUGAGUAACACGUGAGCAACCUGCCUUACAGAGGGGGAUAACGUCUGGAAACGGACGCUAAUACCGCAUAACAUAUAUUGGUGGCAUCGCCGGUAUAUCAAAGGAGAAAUCCGCUGUGAGAUGGGCUCGCGCCCGAUUAGGUAGUGGGUGGGGUAAAGGCCUACCAAGCCGACGAUCGGUAGCCGGACUGAGAGGUUGAUCGGCCACAUUGGGACUGAGACACGGCCCAGACUCCUACGGGAGGCAGCAGUGGGGGAUAUUGCACAAUGGGGGAAACCCUGAUGCAGCGACGCCGCGUGAGUGAAGACGGCCUUCGGGUUGUAAAGCUCUGUUGACGGGGACGAUAAUGACGGUACCCGUUAAGAAAGCCACGGCUAACUACGUGCCAGCCGCCGCCGUAACAC